rnacentral:rRNA from 1 species
CAGUCGCCGCGGGAACACGAAGGGUGCAAGCGUUACUCGGAAUUUCUGGGCGUAAAGCGUGCGUAGGUGGUGGUUUAAGUCCGUUGUGAAAGCCCUGGGCUCAACCUGGGAAUUGCAGUGGAUACUGGGUCACUAGAGUGUGGUAGAGGAUAGUGGAAUUUCCGGUGUAGCAGUGAAAUGCGUAGAGAUCGGAAGGAACAUCUGUGGCGAAGGCGACUAUCUGGGCCAACACUGACGCUGAGGCACGAAAGCGUGGGGAGCAAACAGGAUUAGAUACCCCGGUAGUCCCUGUCUCUUAUAC